rnacentral:ncRNA from 1 species
CCUUGACGAAGAAUUAACUUCGACAUUUGCCAAGACAAGGAGAUUGACAUG